AGAAUGAUGAGACGUGUUCCUCUCUCCUACAGACUCCCUGGGGAUGCUAUGUACACCUUACUGAUUUA
rfam:Giardia lamblia ATCC 50803 SC_577 genomic scaffold, whole genome shotgun sequence.